ACUCCUCAGCAGGCUGCUGAGCGGGCGUCGCCGGGCCAGGCGGGGCAACCAUGCUUUCCAGCCUCCCCACGCCCCUCUCUUCGCCCUUUGUGUGCAAGACCCCAGAUCAGCCUGGAGAGUAGCUGUUGUAGACGAGGUUGAAGAAAAUUUAUGUUUCGUAUCAACUGUAUGAAGAAGUUUUAGUCAUCACCAACAUGGAGAGACAAUUCUCCCUGGAUCCGUUGUGUUUCUACCUGUCUUAUGACCAAGGCACUAAUUGCCCUUUUUUCUAGACUGUCUUCUCAAGGGUAUUUGUACAGUAAAUAGUCUUGGAAGAUAUUGGAAGAUAGAGAUAGUACCUCCAUCUGAAACAAAGCCUUGAAAGCUGUGAUAUCUCUCUCCUGACCAAAAGCUAUCUGUGGGAAUUAGAGCUCAGGGGACCAGUCAAUGCAAGAUAUGCAGAUGCUCAUACUGCCCGCUAUGCCUGAGUGACAAAAUCCUUUAUCUCGAAGCCAAGAGUUUUGCAUCUUCCAUCGGCAUCCAUGAAACUACAGCCAGCUAACUUGUUAGCCUAUCAACCAAAACAAAAGUGAUGUGUAAACCAAAGGUCCCCAGUGUCAUUAAGGGCCCAGCAGGGCAUCUGAAGAUAUGAAGCUGCCUAUGUGAGGCCACAAGAACUGAUGGUAAUUGUGGCAAACUAGAGAACAUGCUCAGCCUCCACAUGUUCUGAUUUCUUUUCAUACUGCACAGGCAACCAAACCAUCUGCUUGGCUACCAGUUUGCAACUCUUGACAUUACAUAAAACCUUCUGCCGAAGCUACUCCUCUCUCAUUCUUCAAACCUGAGAUUUUGGGGAUCAUUCCAGUUUCUGGAUGCUCAAGUUGUGCACUCACACUGACCUCCCCCAACAGCACCUGAAAACUUCCUUAUAUCUGACCCACAGUGGACUCAAUCCACAGGACUGAGCUGUGAAGCAUGCCCCAGACCCUUACACACUGGCUAGCCACCUGUUAUUCUGAUUUGCUCCUUCUGGUUGCUCUCCCUGUGACUGUGUUAGUGGUGGAAGAGAUCUAAGUUACUCCAAGUUACCGGCAGCAAAUCCAUAGGCUCUCCAGCAACUUCAGCCUUUGCCCCCUCAGAAGAAAAAAUUCAACUGAAGAAGCACAAAGCAGAAAAAGAGACCAGACAGAGGCAAGUUUCAGAGCAGAAGUGGAAGUUAAUUUAAAAGGCAUUAGAACAGGAAAGAAAGGAAAGUUCACUUAGAAGAGAUUCAAGAGGGCAUGUGAAGGUUAAAGAGAGAGGUCAAGUCCCCAUUUAACCAUGAUCCUAGGACCUUUAUAAGCUCACCUCUUUCCCAUGAUUCUUCGCUUAGGGUGGGCUGCCCGCAUGAGCAGAGUCCUCCUUACCCUUGGGAAGUGAGCACGUGCAGUGUGUUUAGGGAGUUGUACACGUGACCAUCUAAGGCUUUCUUCCUUUUUCUGGUGGAACCUACCUGGAAGAUCAUACUUCACCAUUUUUGUCUUUUUUUUUUUUUUUUUUUCGAGACGGAGUCUCGCUCUGCUGCCCAGGCUGGAGUGCAGUGGCAGGAUCUUGGCUCACUGCAAGCUCCGCCUCCCGGGUUCACGCCAUUCUCCUGCCUCAGCCUCCCGAGUAGCUGGGACUACAGGCGCCCGCCACCACGCCUGGCUAAUUUUUUGUAUUUGUAGUAGAGACAGGUUUCACCGUGUUAGCCAGGACUGUCUCCAUCUCCUGACCUCAUGAUCCACCCGCCUUGGCCUCCCAAAGUGCUGGGAUUACAGGCAUGAGCCACCAGGCCCGGCCAUUUUUGUCUCUUAAUGUCCAUGCCCAGGAAGUUGCUUUUCCCUGGGGUCUGCCUUUAAUUAACACUUUAAUGUUAACAGGUGUGGACAAUCAGGAACUCGCCUGUCACUGGUGCAGGCUGACAAUGUAUCACUUUGAGAGAAGCAAUGCAAUAAUUGCUGAAUCAUCACCCGACAUUUCUGGUGGGUGUGGGGAGAGACCUCUGCUGUUCUACUCAUGCCUAUCUACCUGUAACAGCUGGAACAUUGCCUUGUAUCUGAAAUUAGGCACCCAUUAUUAAUAGACAAUUUUUCCAGAAGCUAACCACAAACCCACCGACUUCAGAAUGUUCUUCCACCCUGAUGGGGACUGGAGGCUGCACCCUGUCUACCUGAACAUGCAGCCAGGUCCCAGAAUCUACUGCUACUAGAAUCAUGGUUGACAGCAGGUCUCUCCUCUAAUUCUGUGACCUAAGAAUGCAAUCCCCACCAUAUAAACACCUGAAGCCUAGCAGCAUCUUAGAGAAAUUUUAGGGCUCCAUCCUUCCUUCUUUAUCCAACAAACAUUGUUCCUCAGUUCACCAAAACUGUAAUUUAAGAAUAUGCAAUGGAUAGGCCAGAAUAGGACUUUGUUUUCCACCCUCUGAAUUAUGUAGGUUUAUCUCCACGUUUGAAGAAACUAUGGAUCAUUUGUUGUUGACCACCAGAGUGAAAACCACUCAUAAUAUACUGACCAGGAUACUCUGCCCUGUAAAAGCGGCCAGCAGCUUGGUCAAACUGUGAGCGGUCCAUUUUCAUACUGCUUGGUUGCAAAAAUUAAGAGGCAUCUUCACUAUAAAUACUUUCCUACAACUCAGCAACUUUGUAGCAUAUGCCUAUCAAGUCACUCUGAAAAAGAUAUAAGCAACUCUCACAAUGAGACAAAACAUAAUAAGAAUAUUAAAUCAUUAAACUGUUAGUAGCAAUUUUCUGCAUCUAGUCCUUUCAAAUUAUCUAUUGCUAGAAUAAUAAUCCCUGAAAAUCAUAUCUUACUUCUUUCUUCUGAUCUUGUAAUCCUCUAAAAGCUACAAAACAGGACACUAAAGAUAGCUUCAAGUUUGCUGAAAGGCAGUACAAGGGAAUAGCAAAAGAGUUUGUUAUAUAUUUAUUGUCAAAUAGAAGAAAUAAAAUACUGGCAUCAUGAUUUCAAAAUUAGUCAAAGAAUAAUUGACUUAAUAAGGCUGCAAUAAUUUCUUAACUAUAAAACAACUUAUAGAAAAAAUUUUCAACCCAAAUCUUCAAAAUACUGCCUACUUCAUGCAAAGUGAUCCACUCACUGUCUCCUACAAUCAGCAUAUCCAUUCUCCCAGUGCCAUCCAUUCCUCCAUGCUCACAGCCCCAGAGUUACAGUUCAAGAUUUGGUGUGGCUUCCCAGCACAGGGAGCUGUAAACUUGAUAGAGCUGGACUAACAUCCCACGACCAAAAGCUUAGUGGUCACUUGGGCUCUGGGCUAUUGAAUGCCAUGUUGGAGGAUUUACGCAGGAAAAAGAAGAUGCUCAGAUAAAUUUGAAUUUUAGAUAAACAACAAACAAAAAUUUUCAAAAUAAGUAUGGACUAUGCAAUAUUAGAGACAUAAUUUAAAAAUUUAAAGUUAAACUUAAAUCUAAUUAGACAUCGUAUCUUUUCUCCAGCAACCCUGGUUGAAAAGUCAGUUGGCUACAGAGGGGAAGAAAGAAGAGUAACAUUUAACAGUAAAAGACAGGGCCUCUUUUAUCAAUACUAGAAAUGGAAGCAGGAAGGAGCUGGUUAGCAACAUCAUCCUCAUGGUGAUGGCACUGCACCUGCCAGGUCAGAUGAUCAAAUGUCUGCAGGAGAGUAGCCUGCUAGACUAUGGGAUAGUGGUAGUGGGUGGAAUAUAAGGAGUGGACUCCAGAGGGACUUUGCAUAGGAGCUCAAUAAGGAUGCCUGCAGGCUGGGAAGCAGUCAUUUGACUUAUCUGACCCAUCUUAUGUGAUUGCCCUAACUACUUUUGGAAGUAGGGCAGAGACUCUAAGACAUUCCCCUGUCUCAUGAAAGGGAACCAAGGAGGUGAAGAAUUGGAAGUUCAGAGAAAUUUCGUGGACGUUUGAGUUACAUGUGUCUUUGAGUAUAAUUCCAGCCUUUGAGAUAUCCUGUGGCUUAAAUGAACUAAAAACAGCAGGCACAACUAUGUCUGUCUUGCAUCCACAAGAUCCUUCAGCUUCUUCAAGAAAAGAAUAGAACCUUGUUCAUCAUUGACUCUCCGGUACUGGACACAAACUUGUUUCAAAAGAUAUGACUCUAAGUGUCUAUCGAUUUGAUUUGUUAUAGUUAUGAGACUAAAAAUUGUAUUUCUCCAAAGAA
rnacentral:lncRNA from 1 species